CCUACGGAGGGCAGCAGUGGGGAAUAUUGGACAAUGGGGGGAACCCUGAUCCAGCCAUGCCGCGUGUGUGAAGAAGGCCCUCGGGUUGUAAAGCACUUUCAGUGAGGAAGAACGCCUGGUGGUUAAUACCCAUCAGGAAAGACAUCACUCACAGAAGAAGCACCGGCUAACUCCGUGCCAGCAGCCGCGGUAAUACGGAGGGUGCGAGCGUUAAUCGGAAUUACUGGGCGUAAAGCGCGCGUAGGUGGCUUGAUAAGCCGGUUGUGAAAGCCCCGGGCUCAACCUGGGAACGGCAUCCGGAACUGUCAAGCUAGAGUGCAGGAGAGGAAGGUAGAAUUCCCGGUGUAGCGGUGAAAUGCGUAGAGAUCGGGAGGAAUACCAGUGGCGAAGGCGGCCUUCUGGACUGACACUGACACUGAGGUGCGAAAGCGUGGGUAGCAAACAGGAUUAGAUACCCGUGUAGUC
rnacentral:rRNA from 1 species